UACGUAGGGGGCUAGCGUUGUCCGGAAUCAUUGGGCGUAAAGAGCGUGUAGGCGGCUCGGUAAGUCCGCUGUGAAAGUCCAGGGCUCAACCCUGGAAUGCCAGUGGAAACUGUCGAGCUAGAGUCCGGAAGAGGCGAGUGGAAUUCCUGGUGUAGCGGUGAAAUGCGCAGAUAUCAGGAGGAACGCCAAUGGCGAAGGCAAGUCUCUGGACAGUUCCUGACGCUCAUGCACGAAGGCCAGGGGAGCAAACGGG
rnacentral:rRNA from 1 species